AUGCCGGAGUGAUGGCUGAGGAGGGAGCUCAGCAGACAGAAGAGGACACAUUUUCCACGCAUAAAACCGCUUUGGCCACCAAGCCAGUCGUCAAGCUAGAAUGAACAAAGAACUGCCAUCUGCUCUGCCCCUUAUAUAAGAAAAACACCACCAGAAAGAUGUCUCCAUUGCUAGGAGAUUCAACCUCUCCAGUAUUCUCAUUCGAAAGAUGUCUUGAAUCUAGAGUACUGUUUCUCAUGGAAUGCAUUCAACCAGGCUCUGGAGAUCUGGACGCUCAGGCUUGAGGCUUCUCACAAGCUCCUAAGCACCGAUGGUGCUUUGUUCUGUGGGAAGCAGGGAUCUGAAGCAUGGAACAACAGCUUCUAAAAUCACACACCAAGAGCUGUUUCUACAGCACUACUUUAAUAAGGAUUUUCCUUGGCAGGAAACCACCAGGAAACCGACAAAUCUAGUUUAAAGCCCAAAUCAAAUCAUUUGCUGGAGAGAAUCUCUUGUACUGAAUGGAAGCUUCACCCAUCAAUCAAAAGCUGAUUGGUCAAUGAGCUGAGGCAGGAAAUAGGAGGUUGGAGUUUCGACAGAGAGAGGAACUCUGGGAUAGAGUCACGUUGCAAGCAUUCAACCAGAACUCUGAGGAAGCCGGCCACGUGAAACUGAAGCUGUCUAUUCAUCUGUGAAAGAAGGGAAGAAAGUGACUACUCUUUAUCUGGGAGAAGAAAUGAAGUGCUGCUACUUACUCUUUGCGUCUAUUGUGCGAUCCUCUCUCGGAGAGAAAAGACUGGAAUGACAAGCUUUGGAAAAUGACACCUACUGCUUUUUCCUUAUUACCACGCAGACUAACUUUCUCAAAUGAGGAAAUGCUUGCUUGACAGCCUGUCAGAAUAAAUGAAAACUUUAAACCGUUUGUCUUCACGGUACUCUAAUGACCUGUAAUAUUGAUCAUUCAGGCUCUGUUCUCUGAGUUAAGUGGAUAAGAAAAUUCAGGAAGAUUAAG
ensembl:lncRNA